rnacentral:rRNA from 1 species
GACGAACGCUGGCGGCGCGCUUAACACAUGCAAGUCGAGCGAGAACCGGGGCUUCGGCCCCGGGACAGCGGCGAACGGGUGAGUAACACGUGGGUAACCUGCCCUCGGCACCGGGAUAGCCCCGGGGGAAACUCGGAUUAAUACCGGAUGGCCCCCUCCGACCUUCGGGUCGGCUGGGAAAGGUAGCUUCGGCUUCCGGCCGAGGAUGGCCCGCGGCGGAUUAGCUUGUUGGUGGGGUAACGGCCCACCAAGGCUCCGAUCCGUAGCNGGUCUGAGAGGACGAUCAGCCACACUGGGACUGAGACACGGCCCAGACUCCUA